rnacentral:rRNA from 1 species
GACGAACGCUGGCGGCGUGCCUAAUACAUGCAAGUCGAGCGAAUCCCUUCGGGGGUUAGCGGCGGACGGGUGAGUAACACGUAGGCAACCUGCCUGUAAGAUCGGGAUAACUACCGGAAACGGUAGCUAAAACCGGAUAGCUGGUUUCUCCGCAUGGGGGAAUCAAGAAACACGGCGCAAGCUGUGGCUUACGGAUGGGCCUGCGGCGCAUUAGCUAGUUGGUGGGGUAACGGCUCACCAAGGCGACGAUGCGUAGCCGACCUGAGAGGGUGAUCGGCCACACUGGGACUGAGACACGGCCCAGACUCCUACGGGAGGCAGCAGUAGGGAAUCUUCCGCAAUGGGCGAAAGCCUGACGGAGCAACGCCGCGUGAGUGAUGAAGGUUUUCGGAUCGUAAAGCUCUGUUGCCCUAGACGAACAGCAGGGGGAGUCACUGCCCUCUGUGGACG